CCCGCCCUCUCCCAGGCAGCGCCGCCACCCAGCGCCGAGACAUCUUGUCGGACCAGGUAUCCCUCCGCGCGAAGCCGUUGCGACAAACGCAGCGGGACUGCGCGUGCGCAACCGCCCUCGCCGGGGGGCGUCCCCGCACAUGGCACCGGGAAACGGACCGUUACAGAGCCCCCGGUGACUGGGAAUGAUCUGCAUGCACCGAACAGGCUGGCAUUUCUGGGGAAUUAUUUCACAUCUUUAAAGGCUGCAGAACAAACCAUACAAACCUUCAGCUGGAUUCUGGAACUAUUACAAGCUGUGGCCACCCAAAAGUUCAGGAGGAUGUGCUUGUUUAAAGCUUGUUUUUCACCAUUUACUCAAGUCACAUGACAUGUUUUAUAACCAAUAAAAUACUAUAUAUAUAUUGUUUUAGAUCUUGUUAACGCAGUCCAGGUGACGCUGUUCCCAUGCCAAGCGGGACAGGAGAAACGGGGGCGUGCAGAGGCGCCCCGGGGGAGCACGGCUCACUCGUCCGAGUCCAGGUCGCUGUCCCCGGCGAUGGAAUGGAAGUCCUCGCUGUCCUCCUCGUCCUCGGACAGAUGCACCUGGCUCAAGACGCUGGGCCCACAGCGCUGCUGCUCCUCCUCCUCCUCCUCCUCCGAGACCUCGUACCCUCCCAUGCUGCUGAAGCUGGUGUCCCUCGUGUUGGAUUUCGGGUCUGGUUCUUCGUAGCUGCCGUAACUAGGAGAAAGGAGAUGCUGUUACUGUGCCAUCGUUCAAAAUCAGCCGCUGAUACGGACGGUUCUAUAUUUAACUCCUGUAAAAGGUCCCUGGUGGGAAAUCCUUGUGGAGCACUCAGAGCCACUGUGCACUUUAAUUCUGUGAAUGGGCAGCUUUUAAAAAUAAAAACAGUUCUGA